CUACGGGGCGCACCAGUGAGGAAUAUUGGUCAAUGGGCGAGAGCCUGAACCAGCCAUGCCGCGUGCAGGAUGACGGCCCUAUGGGUUGUAAACUGCUUUUGUACGGGAAGAAUAGGCGCCACGUGUGGCGAUUUGACGGUACCGUACGAAUAAGCACCGGCUAACUCCGUGCCAGCAGCCGCGGUAAUACGGAGGGUGCAGGCGUUAUCCGGAUUUAUUGGGUUUAAAGGGUGCGUAGGCGGGCUUAUAAGUCAGUGGUGAAAUCUCGUGGCUCAACCAUGAAAUUGCCAUUGAUACUGUAGGCCUUGAGUAUAGUUGAGGUAGGCGGAAUGUGUCAUGUAGCGGUGAAAUGCUUAGAUAUGACCCAGAACACCAAUUGCGUAGGCAGCUUGCUAAACUAUUACUGACGCUGAUGCACGAAAGCGUGGGUAGCGAACAGGAUUAGAUACCCGGGUAGUC
rnacentral:rRNA from 1 species